CAGAGGACUCCAGGUAAACAAAACAUCCUGACAUACCAGAGGUUUACACUGUUGAGCUGGAACCAGAAGUUUGCAAACCACCGAUAUGGAGAUGGCUUAUGAACGGAGCCCAGGACUGCCCACCUGCCCACCGGGAGCAGAAGGGAAGGAGUAGACAAUUCAGUGCAGUGGUGCUCUGGCAACUGUGUGCUUACUUGACUAUUGAUGCAAAGAGCUUUGUGAUCCUCAGAUGAUAGGUCACUCAGU